rnacentral:rRNA from 1 species
AGAGUUGAUCCUGGCUCAGAACGAACGCUGGCGGCAGGCCUAACACAUGCAAGUCGAGCGCGCCCUUCGGGGUGAGCGGCGGACGGGUUAGUAACGCGUGGGAACGUACCCUUUGGUAGGGAAUAGCCACUGGAAACGGUGAGUAAUACCCUAUGAGCCCUUCGGGGGAAAGAUUUAUCGCCAAAGGAUCGGCCCGCGUUAGAUUAGGUAGUUGGUGGGGUAAUGGCCUACCAAGCCUACGAUCUAUAGCUGGUUUUAGAGGAUGAUCAGCAACACUGGGACUGAGACACGGCCCAGACUCCUACGGGAGGCAGCAGUGGGGAAUCUUGGACAAUGGGGGCAACCCUGAUCCCAGCCAUGCCGCGUGAGUGAAGAAGGCCCUAGGGUCGUAAAGCUCUUUCGCCUGUGAAGAUAAUGACGGUAGCAGGUAAAGAAACCCCGGCUAACUCCGUGCCAGCAGCCGC